AGACUACAAACUACAUCAUUUUC
rnacentral:miRNA from 1 species